GGCCAGCGUGGCAUAGUGGUUGGAUUGUUGGACUGCAACUCGAGAUCAGGGUUUGAUUCCCUGCUUGGCCA